rnacentral:rRNA from 1 species
CCUACGGGAGGCUGCAGUGGGGGAUAUUGCACAAUGGGGGAAACCCUGAUGCAGCGACGCCGCGUGGGUGAAGAAGUAUUUAGGUAUGUAAAGCCCUAUCAGCAGGGAAGAAAGAAGACGGUACCUGACUAAGAAGCCCCGGCUAACUACGUGCCAGCAGCCGCGGUAAUACGCAGGAGGCGAGCGUUAUCCGGAUUCACUGGGUGUAAAGGGAGCGUAGACGGCCGUGCAAGCCAGGAGUGAAAGCCCGGGGCCCAACCCCGGGACUGCUCUUGGAACUGUGCGGCUGGAGUGCGGGAGGGGCAGGCGGAAUUCCUGGUGUAGCGGUGAAAUGCGUAGAUAUCAGGAGGAACACCGGCGGCGAAGGCGGCCUGCUGGACCGCGACUGACGUUGAGGCUCGAAAGCGUGGGGAGCGAACAGGAUUAGAUACCCCAGUAGUC